rnacentral:misc_RNA from 1 species
GGAGUGAUGCAAACGCAUGAUGAAGAAACGCGCAAGUUUUUCAAGUAUUCUUCUGUUAAUUGUGUGUUAUCGCCGCGUUAUGCCUGCAGUAAGCUUAGCAUUUUCAAGCAACAGGUUGUUGGGACCCUUUUUACACAUCAUCAGAAAUGUGUGAUUGUGGAUACACAAGCAUCUGGAAAUAAUCGGAAGAUAAGUGCUUUUAUAGGAGGUCUUGAUCUUUGUGAUGGCCGCUAUGAUACACCUGAACAUCGGUUGUUUCGGGAUCUUGACACUGUAUUUCAGGAUGAUUAUCACAAUCCAACAUUUUCAUCAGGAACCAAGGGUCCUCGGCAACCGUGGCAUGAUUGGCAUUGCAAAAUUGAAGGACCUGCUGCAUAUGAUAUUCUUACAAACUUUGAGCAGCGUUGGAGAAAAGCCUCAAAAUGGUCAGAAUUUGGACGGCGUUUUAAAAGGGUAACUCAUUGGCAUGAUGAUGCUUUAAUAAAGUUGGAACGAAUCUCAUGGAUACUUAGUCCUGGCCCAUCAAUUCCUGAUGAUGAUCCUAAAUUAUGGGUGUCCAAUGAAGAUGAUCCUGAAAACUGGCAUGUUCAGGUUUUCCGGUCUAUAGAUUCAGGAUCUCUGAAAGGGUUUCCCAAAGACGUUUAUCAAGCUGAGGCUCAGAACCUUGUAUGUGCUAAGAAUCUGGUGAUUGAUAAGAGCAUUCAAACAGCAUACAUUCAGGCAAUCAGAUCUGCCCAACACUUCAUAUAUAUUGAGAAUCAGUAUUUCAUUGGAUCAUCUUAUGCAUGGCCAUCUUACAAAGAAGCAGGGGCUGAUAAUCUAAUUCCUAUGGAGUUGGCAUUGAAGAUUGCUAGUAAAAUCAGAGCAAAGGAGAGGUUUGCUGUCUAUGUCGUCGUACCAAUGUGGCCUGAGGGUGUUCCCACUUCUGUCUCUGUGCAAGAAAUUCUCUUUUGGCAGGUAAUAUGGCAUAUGGUUUAGUUCAUUGAGUGUAAGUUGAGG